rnacentral:rRNA from 1 species
GAGUUUGAUCCUGGCUCAGGAUAAACGCUGGCGGCGCACAUAAGACAUGCAAGUCGAACGGACUUAAUUCAUUCUUUUAGAUUGGAAGCGGUUAGUGGCGGACUGGUGAGUAACGCGUGAGCAACCUGCCUAUUAGAGGGGAAUAACAGUGAGAAAUCAUUGCUAAUACCGCAUAUGCUUACACUAUUGCAUGAUAGAGUAAGGAAAGGAGCAAUCCGCUAAUAGAUGGGCUCGCGUCUGAUUAGCUAGUUGGUGGGGUAGAAGCCUACCAAGGCGACGAUCAGUAGCCGGACUGAGAGGUUGAACGGCCACAUUGGGACUGAGAUACGGCCCAGACUCCUACGGGAGGCAGCAGUCGGGAAUAUUGCGCAAUGGAGGGAACUCUGACGCAGUGACGCCGCGUAUAGGAAGAAGGUUUUCGGAUUGUAAACUAUUGUCGUUAGGGAAGAAAAAAGACAGUACCUAAGGAGGAAGCCCCGGCUAACUAUGUGCCAGCAGCCGCGGUAAUACAUAGGGGGCAAGCGUUAUCCGGAAUUAUUGGGUGUAAAGGGUGCGUAGACGGGUGUUUAAGUUGGUUGUGAAAUCCCUCGGCUCAACUGAGGAACUGCAACCAAAACUGGAUAUCUUGAGUGUCGGAGAGGAAAGUGGAAUUCCUAGUGUAGCGGUGAAAUGCGUAGAUAUUAG